GACGAACGCUGGCGGCGUGCCUAAUACAUGCAAGUUGAGCGGUGAAGGUUGGUUCUUGUGCCGGAUGGAUGAGCAGCGAACGGGUACGUACCGUGUGGGGAAUCUGAAUUUGAGCGGGGGACAACAUUUGGCACCGAAUGCUAAUACCGCAUAAAAACUUUCAACACAAGUUUUACGUUUGACAGAUGCACUUGCAUCACACACAGAUGAUCCCCCGUUGUAUUAGCUAGUUGGUGGGGUAAAGGCUAACCAAGGCGAUGAUACAUAGCCGACCUGAGAGGUGGAUCGGCCGCAUUGGGGCGGAGACGCUGCCCAAACUCCGACGUGAGGCAGCGGUAAGGAAUCUUCGGCAAGGGACGGAAGGCUAACCGAGCAACUCCGCGAAAGUGAAGAAGGUCUUCGGAUCGUAAAACUCGAUGGGUAGAGAAGAGCGAUGUGGUGAGUGGAAAGCUCAUCAAGUGACGGUAACUACCCAGAAAGCAACGGCUAACUACGUG
rnacentral:rRNA from 1 species